UUACACCAGAUGCAAGGCCAUGUUUUGUUUACAUAUUCUAAUAUUCUAUUGAUGAGUUGUUGGCCUGUGUUAAUUUUGUUGCCUUUAUUGUUUGUUCUUGCUGUUAUAAUGCUGAUGUUGAUUUUUGUGGAAAGCAGAACAAACUGUUCAUAUCUGGGAACAAUUUUCCAUCAUAUUGUCUAUAGUAUGCUGAAUAAGGUUUCUGGAAGAAAUGCAAAGUUCGGAGGUAACCAGGAUCAUUCUUAUUAGAAAGUGAAGGUUAUGCCUUGAAAACAUAUUCUGGAUGAAAAGAGUACAUUGAUUUCAUGGGUGAGCAGAAAGAUUAGUUUCUUACUCAGAUCAGAUACGUAGCAAAUAUUUCUUUAGAUGGAUGUAGUCUCUUGUCUCAUGAACUGCCAGAAACAUUAUUUAAGGAAAUUUAAUAGUCUACGUGUGAGCUUUUUUAAAUGAAUAUUGAUCUCAAUAAUUGACUAAAA